GUCCAUUGCGUGCCUAAUGCUAUCUCCUUGUGGACCCAGGCAGGGAAAUAUCCUAGGAUGCAUCUUGCUGAAUUUAUCAAUUUUAUUCUAUUUGAAAACGUGCAUGAAGAGCUUGCUCGCCACUAUUGCUUCCAGUCAGGAUGGGAUGAUGUUGUUUAGGAGGUGUUCAUAGUACCAGGUCUCCAUAGACAUGACCGUUUCAGAAUAGGAACAAGAUAUGAAAUAUUUUCAAUCGCUUCUCAGUUCUGAAAUUAGCUCCUCUCUUCAUGUAUUGCCGUGGGACUAAUCAAGUACUUGAUCAUCGAAGGUGGCGGUAAGGCGUGUGAGCAAUUAAUUAUCAGGUGUUAGCUUGGAAAGGCAUAUGCAAGUGUUGUCUUCGGGAACCCCAAGUUCAUUUCCAACAACAAAUGUAGAUUUUGAUU